rnacentral:snRNA from 1 species
GGGUAUGAGGGGACCUGGCUGCAACACCUGUCGCUGCAUGAUUGCCAGCUUGGUCCAGCUGAACGGGGUGGGCGGGCGCCCCCUCCUCCUCCACUAUUCUGCGUAUCUCUCCUCGAGCUGUGCCCUCAGUGGAAGAGAAUGACCUUGCCCAACGGAGGAAGGAUGCUCUUCAAAUCAC